CAGCAGUAGGGAUCUUCCGCAAUGGGCGAAAGCCUGACGGAGCAACGCCGCGUGAGUGAUGAAGGUCUUCGGAUCGUAAAACUCUGUUAUUAGGGAAGAACAAAUGUGUAAGUAACUAUGCACGUCUUGACGGUACCUAAUCAGAAAGCCACGGCUAACUACGUGCCAGCAGCCGCGGUAAUACGUAGGUGGCAAGCGUUAUCCGGAAUUAUUGGGCGUAAAGCGCGCGUAGGCGGUUUUUUAAGUCUGAUGUGAAAGCCCACGGCUCAACCGUGGAGGGUCAUUGGAAACUGGAAAACUUGAGUGCAGAAGAGGAAAGUGGAAUUCCAUGUGUAGCGGUGAAAUGCGCAGAGAUAUGGAGGAACACCAGUGGCGAAGGCGACUUUCUGGUCUGUAACUGACGCUGAUGUGCGAAAGCGUGGGGAUCAAACAGGAUUAGAUACCCUGGUAGUCCACGCCGUAAACGAUGAGUGCUAAGUGUUAGGGGGUUUCCGCCCCUUAGUGCUGCAGCUAACGCAUUAAGCACUCCGCCUGGGGAGUACGACCGCAAGGUUGAAACUCAAAGGAAUUGACGGGCCCCGCCAA
rnacentral:rRNA from 1 species